ACUACUUUUUGGUACCGCCACUGAUAUUUGACGGCUAAUAAUUAAUUAUUGACGUCUGACAUUUUGAUUUUUGACUAUUAAGUAGGGUUAUGUCAGAGUUAAUUGUCAUUUUGAAUUAUAAUUCACGGAUUUUAAGCUGUGUUAAAGGGUAGAAGAUACAUCGUCAACGUCAAAGAAGAGGCAAUACAAGAGGCACACGUGCUCAUUUUUUACAGUUUGCGAAUCACCCUACCACCCCUUUGAUUUGCACCAUAUGUACCAAAGGGGUAGAAUCUCUAUUGUGUUUUUUAUGGAAGGGUUUAAACUGUCCCAAUAUUAAAUUACAGUAUAGUUAUUCGAUUAUUAAAUGAAAAAAGUGCAACUUUUAGUUGUAUGGCAGAAUGCAUAAAACAUUGAUUUAUGCUACGAUACUACAGUGGCAAUUGCAUGAAUGAUUAGCAAUUUUAUUAUCGAAGUAGAAAGGGUUACUCCCCUUCAAAACUAAAAAGGGGUGUUAUUACAUAAAGUAAAAAAGUAAGGGUUGAAAGCAUUAUAAAGGGUUUUAUCGACAGACCCUGAAUGGCUUCGAAGCUUCGAUCCCCUCCACCAUGAGAGUUUUAUUCGAGGAAGUGUAAUGUUAGGUAGUCCUACGUAAACCUUUGAGAGAGCUUUACAUAUGCUCCACCCCCUUCUUUAAAAUGCGACACACUUUGUGUAAAGGGUAGUGAAUCUGUUUAGUCUGUCGAGAGUUGAGAUCGUGGAAGGAUGUUGCUGUAUAAAAAUUGUUCCAAAUUGGCUUUAUCAGAUUAUAAAUUGUCUAAUGUAACUGAAGUGAUGUACUUAAUGUUCCUGAUGUCUUUAUAGUAUUGGAUUUUUUUUACCUGUUUUUAUAGGUCGUUUGGGUGAAUUUUUGAGCUACAUAUCGCUAAAUUGAAAUCUCCAUUGCGACGGAAUAGUUGAAGCCGGACUACGGAAACAUUUGAAGCGAGCAGGUCUGUCGCUGGCAACAAUGGGGUGUAAUUGGUUUCAACUUUGGCCCCACUUCACCUAUAAUGAUUCUAGUUGACUUCCCAAUUCCACGCUUUCAAACCUUUCUCGAAUUCAUGGUUGGGAAAAUCCAUCCGAGAUGGCUGGCUUUCCGGGAGCUUGGAAUAUUAGAAAACACAAGCUGCGUUAUAUCUGAAACAGAACCUCUUUACCAAGUCAAUGGGCUUCGUUACCAUUUCGAAUAAGCCCUCCAAGAAAAAGGAUUUUGGUGUAUAUAUGUCGUUAUCCUGAUUGUGAUAUGACAACGCCCUGCGCUAAUGAAUUGAAAGUCUAUUCCGGCAACGGCAACAAUGUCAACAUGGGGAUGAACACACAUCCACACACAAUUCAAUCCGGGCCUGAUUGGCCUACCCUCUGCUCUGGACUUUCAAACAGAACAACGUUUGUCUUUGAAGUUUACUUAAAGUCUUGCUUGACAAUGACAGGAAUUUCGAAUUUACAACGCCUCGACUUUGUCCUCAAAGCGCUUUUGCUACCUUUAAAUUGGAUAAUGGAAAAAGUGCGGAGAUGGUCAUCGGUUUUGUUGCUAAUCAAAAGGUUUUUCGAAUUACCCCAAUCAUUUAAUUCUGCAACAAAUGUAUUGAUACAAUUUUUUUAUUUGGUGAUCUAAUACUAUAAAGUCUUAUUAUUUGGUACCAAAACAGUGGCAAUAUUUAAUAAUUUGAGAUGAUUAUUGCGUAUAAUAUUAUGACAUUGUGCACAUUGCUGAAGUUGCGAACACUUAGGUGUUAUUUGACGAGAAUAAUUAAUUACCAGGGAUAGUCAGGAAGAUUAUGGGUCUGAUCAGUGAGCUGUGACAGGGUGUCCCUCCAGAUUUUUAGAUUAUUGAUUUGUGUGUAAAAACGAAGUACGUAUUUUAAACUGGUUUUGUUUUGAGGUAUACUGAAACAUAUGGAAUGGAAAGCAAUGUAGAUAAUGUAGGAAGAAAUUGUUAAACAUUAUGUUAAGAGGAGUCGUCCCCGUUGUCAAUGCAUUUUCAGAAUAUAAUAUUUCCAUUAUUAACAGGUCUAUUGUUAUGAAAUUUUAAGUAUAACCUGUCCACAACUUUCUCUAUAUAACUCAGGGCUCGUAAAAAAACAGUUUAUUGCAUAUUUUUUUAAUUUUAGUGAAAUUUUUCAUCAAGUAUUUUUAAAAAUCAAAUUCUCAAUUAUUAAUGGAAAUUUUGGAGCUCAGCUUUCACCAGUGUUUCCACCUUCCUAAACUCUAUGAAUCGUAUUAAAAAGAUUGUCGACUUUUUUUGUCGGAAAUAAAAUACAGUGAAGCAGGUUGUGUCGAACAAGUUGCGUUUUACUAUAUCUCAAUUUCAACAAACAAAGUUGUUAAUGUUUUUGGUACGAUUUAUAGAGUUUUGUAAGCUGAAAACAGUGGCAAAAACCGCGUUCCGAAAUUUCGUUAAAGAAUUGAGGUAUGUAUUGAUUUUCAACAAUAAGUGAUGAAAAAUUUUACCAAAAUAUGAAAAAGAAAAAAACUGCCCCUGCGUUAUAUAUAUAUAAAAGCUGUGAACAGGUUACUUUUAAAAUUUUAUAACUGGAAUUCUGUUAAUAAUUGAGACGUUACAUUUUGAAAAUGUAUUGUAAAUCCCAUGCCCCAAACGCAGCGACUGUUCUUAAUUAAAAGAUGCAUGAAAAUAUUUUCAAUAUAUCAAAGACCACUGGUAUAAAAUCCUAUUUACAUAUAGUUACAUCUUUAAGUGGUAAAGCUACGUGACAUACAUAUAUCUAUAUACAAGUGUGUCGGAGAAAUAACUUAAAAAUGGGUAGAUAUAUUGAAAGUGUAAAUUUUUGUAUCUUAACGGGGGAAGUUUAAUCAAAUAUGACGUACAUAGUGUCGGGUUAGCGAUAUAAACUUGCAUGUUUUUAAACUUCAGCAUAUAUAUGUUUUAGGUGAUUUUGAUAGAUCAUACAAUUAUUAUUACAAUAAUGUAAAGCACUUGGGUGUUAAUUUCAUUUUCAGCCGGUUAAAAAAAUGAAAUUUAUGAAUAUAAAAAAUAGAAGAAGAAUGAAAUAAAGUAGAAUAGUAAAAUUCUCUAGGCCAUGAAAUUAAUUUUUAAAAUAAAAAAAUGUUGGUAUUACAGCUAAUUAAUUAACACUUCAUGCGACAGUUCUUGAACCGGAACUCUCAAAUUGGUAUUGCCGACAUUAUAAUUUUAAAAACAAAUUUUACGGCCUACUAAAGACACAAAAAUAAAUCCACAGGCGUUAAAUCUGGGAUGCCAGCUGGUUAGUGGUUGACAGUAAGACCUCUGUUACCGAUCCAAUUUUUGUAAUAAAUGUUUUGCAGAAUUAAAACAAUUAAACAUUUUUUACAGGUAAAAAAGAAAUGCCGUUGUUGUCUAAGUUUUCUGAUGUUAACAUUAACACUGCCUAGUUAGACAGUUCAUGUAAUAUUUUAUAUUGUUACAAAAUAAACCCAUAUGCCGCCCCGAUAUGACGCCUAUGUUUUCUAGUAUGUGCGGCGAUGAUGAGUGACUCAUCGUCGGUGACGGCGGCCGAACCGCGUUUGUUAAGGAAGAGCCUGGAAGCGGAAGUCGCGAAUGGGUGCUCCAGACAAUUCGAGAAGCGAUGACCGAGGCGUUUCGAGAAGGACCGCGUGGCUGUUUAAAUGGGAACCACCGUUGGGAGCAGUCAGAGUUAUGUCCUGACAAUGAGAGAAAUAAAUGAAAAUUUUCGUUGGUGAAGCAGCAGAUAAAAUUAAUGCUACAAGCUACAAGAACGUAUCCAGCACAGAAAUACCGUCAACGUAUGGAGUGGAAUAUUAGGUUACCGGAUUAUUGGGCCAUUUUUUAUACGGAUUCACUUAACCGGUUCCAAUUAUUUAAAUUUAUUGGAUGAAUUGAUUAGUUCAGCAGUGGAGGGAAAUCACUAGUGAAAAUGAAGAUCGGUAACAACACGACAGUUGUUCUGUGGAUUUUACCAGAAAAAUUCGGGAAUGUUUAGACACUAUGAAAAAAAUAUUGUAUAGUGGUGGUACAAUUCAAGAAUCAAAUCAGGAAUGAAUUACAGUUCUACUGCUAUCUAGAUUAUAAUCAUUGCAAGAAAUGAGAAAGAUCUUUAAGAAUGUUUGAACAUCUGAAAGAAAAUGAAAUGUGAGGAACACAGGUAAGACAAAAGUAACGGUAAUAAUACAUAAAUUCGAAAAUCCCAAUGCGAAGAUAAAUAAAAGAUAAUGAAACAGAAGAAGUUAACAAAUUUAAUUAGUUACUUAAUUAUAACUAACGAAGGGAGAGACCAUCAGACAGAACUGAAUGGAAAGAUAUUAAAAAAGACAUUCAAAGAAUACUAUACUUACGUUCCGAAUUUAACGUAAGACUAUAAAUAAUAAAUACUAACACCUAGAACGAAAAGCUAGAUUUAAAGCAGAGGAAUAAGAGGAGUAACAUACACAAUCGAAAUGGAGUAAGGAACGAGUCAAUAGGACAAGAAGUUUAAAGUUAAUUCUAGAAUGUAUGAAAAAAAUAAGAAUACUACACCCGCAAAAAAUAAUGAAGGACAGAAACCACGUAGACAGAAACAAAGUGAAGAAAAGACAGACCAUCGAAAACGUGGUGCAAUCAACUGAAGAAAGUAGCACAGCAUACAUUUCAGGUGUAUUUUUGUGUAGGUAAAGCUUUAUUUAAUAACUUAUUUGUGAAUCAUUUAUUUUGUGGUAUAUGUGUGUAAUGUCUAAAAACAACGAAAUUUUAUGUCUGUCAGAAUAAUCCUAUUGCAAAUGUACCUUCAUGGUUGCUGGGAAUAUAAAAAUAAAAUAUUUUAAAAAGGGUUUUGUUUAUUUAAAAAUGUUAAGUUACUUAUAACUAGGACACACAUAAACAUUUUUAAGUAUGGAAGUAUGUGGAAGUUUAAACAGUGUGAAUAAACCUUUUAAUAUUAUCGUUAAUCAUGUGCUGCAUUGAUUUAUUUGUCAACUUGAUGUCAGUUAUCUACGCCAUGUACAAUUACUCUGAAAGCAUGUUUUUAUUUAAAUAAUUAAUG